AUCAAAUUGGGGAAGGGCAACGGCAAAGUCGCAGGCGAGCAGGGGAGGAAGGAGACUCCUCCUGCGGAUGCGUCGGCACGGCGACGCUCCUCACCGGAAUGUAAAUGGAAAGGACGGCCAAAUAGUUGCGGGGUGGAAUCACCAGACGGCCCGGGAGAGACAGGAAUGGAAUGGGGAGUCUUCAGGUUUUCACCGAAAAGCAUUUACAGCUAACCACAGGCCGUUGGAGGCAGCUUAAAAAUCUCUUGCAUCUGGAAGAGCCAUAAUUCACGGGAUUUGGCCUGACAGCCAUGACAGGCAUGGGGGGGCGGCCAGAAACAACUGUCUCCUGUGUUAGCCGUGUGCUAGCUGCAAAACAACAAGGAGGGGAAGAGACUCAGAGGAGGGAGAAAGAGAUUGAGGGAAACAGAGUGUGAACGCGUAGCCGCAGUCGGAUUCCAUAUGAGACGCUUCCGACUAAGUACGUAGGCCCGCGUGAGGCGCACAGCUGUUUGCGCGUGCACGUGCGCGCGCAUACGUCCGCGUGCGGAUAGGAGGCUAGGCCUGGGCUUUGCAGGCGAUGCUGGGCGUAGCGCAUCUUUUAUGGGAUGCCAGAGGCUCCCUCCGUCGGCCCUAAAUAUUACACGCAGACAGUAGCUAUCAUUUCCCAGCCCGCCAUCCCACAUUCCACAUCCUAGCUGUUAGCCUGCUAAUCUGGGCACCAUACGAUGGGCCAUUGUUUGGGAGAGGGGUCAUGUAGCUGUCUCUCUCUCUCUCUCUCUCUCUCUCUCUCUCUCUCUCUCUCUCUCUCUCUCUCUCUCUCUCUCUCUCUCUCUCUCUCUCUCUCUCUCUCUCUCUCUCUCUCUCUCUCUCUCUCUCUCUCUCUCACCUCUCACUCAAUACGAAGACAGACAGGCAGAUAGACAGACGUGAAGAGGGAUGGCUCAUGUUAUUUUUUUUGUUAAUUCAAUUGUUUUCUCUUAAUUUACCCUCAGUAGUGGUAUAUUUUGAUUCUCAUUUGCUGUUUAAUUUUUCUUCCUUUUUUUGUCAUUCAGUCAGACUUCCGGCUUGAAUCCUGAUUUCAAACCUUGUGAUUUCCAGCCAUUAGCUUCUCCUCCCUCUGUUAAACCCACCUUGAAAAAAAUCACAGUGUUUCGCAGCUUCACUCUUUCACAACCCCAUAAGUUAGUCUGUCGGUCCAUCCAUCUGUUAUCCUGCCGGCCUGCCUGUCUGUCUGCCUGCCUGUCUGUCUGCCUGUCCUCUCAUGGUGUCUUCCCACUGUGUCUGCAGAUAUUUAUGGAGGGAUUUCUCACAUGUUAGAUAUAGAUUUACGAGCCAGCCGGCUCCCCGUGGCCACUAAAUAUGAUACCAUGCACUAAGCCACAUUGUUUGUGUGUGGUUGUGUGUGCGUCUUGGCCGUGAGUGUGUGUGUCUGUGUGCCUGCCCUUGUGCAUGUGUUUCUGUUUUUGCACUUGUACACCGUGUGUGUUUAUGUGUUUGUUUAUGUGUAAAAGAGUUUAUCUGUUUAUAUAUUCCUGUGUGUGUGUGUGUGUGUGUGUGUGUGUGUGUGUGUGUGUGUGUGUGUGUGUGUGUUUUCAUGCAUUACAAGGUUGAGGCGGGUGACUUUUAAAGGGUUAGCUGGGGUACGGUGGGCGCAGAGGAGGAAUUUACAGUUUAUUGAAGCACAGCGGAUAGGCUGGGUGUGUGUGUGUGUUUGUGUGUGUGUGUGUGUGUGUGUGUGUGUGUGUGUGUGUGUGUGUGUGUGUGUGUGUGUGUGUGUGUGUGUGUGUGUGUGUGUGU
ensembl:lncRNA